GACGAACGCUGGCGGCGUGCUUAACACAUGCAAGUCGAACGGAAAGGCCCUGCUUUUGUGGGGUGCUCGAGUGGCGAACGGGUGAGUAACACGUGAGUAACCUGCCCUUGACUUUGGGAUAACUUCAGGAAACUGGGGCUAAUACCGGAUAGGAGCUCCUGCUGCAUGGUGGGGGUUGGAAAGUUUCGGCGGUUGGGGAUGGACUCGCGGCUUAUCAGCUUGUUGGUGGGGUAGUGGCUUACCAAGGCUUUGACGGGUAGCCGGCCUGAGAGGGUGACCGGCCACAUUGGGACUGAGAUACGGCCCAGACUCCUACGGGAGGCAGCAGUGGGGAAUAUUGCACGAUGGGCGGAAGCCUGAUGCAGCAACGCCGCGUGCGGGAUGACGGCCUUCGGGUUGUAAACCGCUUUCGCCUGUGACGAAGCGUGAGUGACGGGAAUGGGUAAAGAAGCACCGGCUAACUACGU
rnacentral:rRNA from 1 species